CUACCCGGGUAUCUAAUCCUGUUUGCUCCCCUAGCUUUCGUUCCUCAGCGUCAGUUGCGGUCCAGCCAGCCGCCUUCGCCACGGGUGUUCCUGCAGAUAUCUACGCAUUUCACCGCUACACCUGCAAUUCCACUGGCCUCUCCCGCACUCGAGCACGGCAGUUUCGAAAGCAGCCUCUGAGUUAAGCCCAGAGAUUUCACUCCCGACUUGCCGCACCGCCUACGAACCCUUUACGCCCAGUAAUUCCGAGCAACGCUGGCCCCCUACGUAUUACCGCGGCUGCUGGCAC
rnacentral:rRNA from 1 species